AACGAACGCUGGCGGCAGGCUUAACACAUGCAAGUCGAACGCGUGUAGCAAUACACGAGUGGCGCACGGGUGAGUAACGCGUGGAUAUCUGCCUUUUGGUUCGGAAUAACUCCGGGAAACUGGAGCUAAUACCGGAUGGUUCCUACGGGAUAAAGAUUUAUCGCCAAAAGAUGAGUCCGCGUACGAUUAGCUAGUUGGUGAGGUAAUGGCUCACCAAGGCGACGAUCGUUAGCUGGUCUGAGAGGACGAUCAGCCACACUGGGACUGAGACACGGCCCAGACUCCUACGGGAGGCAGCAGUGGGGAAUAUUGGACAAUGGGGCAACCCUGAUCCAGCCAUGCCGCGUGAGUGAUGAAGGCCUUCGGGUUGUAAAGCUCUUUGGCGGGACGGAUGAUGACGGUACCGCAGAAUAAGCCCCGGCUAACUUCGUGCCAGCAGCCGCGGUAAU
rnacentral:rRNA from 1 species